rnacentral:rRNA from 1 species
GCGAAAACUUUACAAUGCUGGCAACAGCGAUAAGGGAACCUCGAGUGCCAGGUUACAAAUCUGGCUGUCGAGAUGCCUAAAAAGCAUUUCAUAGCAAGGGCCGGGCAAGACCGGUGCCAGCCGCCGCGGUAACACCGGCGGCUCGAGUGGUAACCGUUAUUAUUGGGUCUAAAGGGUCUGUAGCCGGCCGGAUAAGUCUCUUGAGAAAUCUGGCAGCUUAACUGUCAGGCUUUCAGGAGAUACUGUCUGGCUCGAGGCCGGGAGAGGUGAGAGGUACUUCAGGGGUAGGGGUGAAAUCUUGUAGUCCUAGAAGGAUAACCAGUGGAGAAAGCGUCACACCAGAACGGACCUGACGGCAAGGGACCAAAGGUAGGGGCAAAAACC